rnacentral:rRNA from 1 species
AGUCGAACGGGAAACUUUCAUUGAAGCUUCGGCAGAUUUGGUCUGUUUCUAGUGGCGGACGGGUGAGUAACGCGUGGGUAACCUGCCUUAUACAGGGGGAUAACAACCAGAAAUGGUUGCUAAUACCGCAUAAGCGCACAGGACCGCAUGGUCCGGUGUGAAAAACUCCGGUGGUAUAAGAUGGACCCGCGUUGGAUUAGCUAGUUGGCAGGGUAACGGCCUACCAAGGCGACGAUCCAUAGCCGGCCUGAGAGGGUGAACGGCCACAUUGGGACUGAGACACGGCCCAGACUCCUACGGGAGGCAGCAGUGGGGAAUAUUGCACAAUGGGGGAAACCCUGAUGCAGCGACGCCGCGUGAAGGAAGAAGUAUCUCGGUAUGUAAACUUCUAUCAGCAGGGAAGAUAGUGACGGUACCUGACUAAGAAGCCCCGGCUAACUACGUGCCAGCAGCCGCGGUAAUACGUAGGGGGCAAGCGUUAUCCGGAUUUACUGGGUGUAAAGGGAGCGUAGACGGACUGGCAAGUCUGAUGUGAAAGGCGGGGGCUCAACCCCUGGACUGCAUUGGAAACUGUUAGUCUUGAGUGCCGGAGAGGUAAGCGGAAUUCCUAGUGUAGCGGUGAAAUGCGUAGAUAUUAGGAGGAACACCAGUGGCGAAGGCGGCUUACUGGACGGUAACUGACGUUGAGGCUCGAAAGCGUGGGG